UACGUAGGGGGCUAGCGUUGUCCGGAAUCAUUGGGCGUAAAGAGCGUGUAGGCGGUCCGGUAAGUCCGCUGUGAAAGUCGGGGGCUCAACCCUCGAAUGCCGGUGGAUACUGUCGGGCUAGAGUGCGGAAGAAGCGAGUGGAAUUCCUGGUGUAGCGGUGAAAUGCGCAGAUAUCAGGAGGAACACCUAUUGCGAAGGCAGCUCGCUGGGACGUAACUGACGCUGAGACGCGAAAGCGUGGGGAGCAAACAGG
rnacentral:rRNA from 1 species